CCUACGGGUGGCUGCAGUGGGGAAUAUUGGACAAUGGGGGGAACCCUGAUCCAGCCAUGCCGCGUGUGUGAAGAAGGCCCUCGGGUUGUAAAGCACUUUCAGUGAGGAAGAACGCCUGGUGGUUAAUACCCAUCAGGAAAGACAUCACUCACAGAAGAAGCACCGGCUAACUCCGUGCCAGCAGCCGCGGUAAUACGGAGGGUGCGAGCGUUAAUCGGAAUUACUGGGCGUAAAGCGCGCGUAGGUGGCUUGAUAAGCCGGUUGUGAAAGCCCCGGGCUCGACCUGGGAACGGCAUCCGGAACUGUCAAGCUAGAGUGCAGGAGAGGAAGGUAGAAUUCCCGGUGUAGCGGUGAAAUGCGUAGAGAUCGGGAGGAAUACCAGUGGCGAAGGCGGCCUUCUGGACUGACACUGACACUGAGGUGCGAAAGCGUGGGUAGCAAACAGGAUUAGAUACCCGUGUAGUC
rnacentral:rRNA from 1 species